GUCGAGCGGUAACAGAGAGGUGCUUGCAUCUUUGCUGACGAGCGGCGGACGGGUGAGUAAUGCUUGGGAACAUGCCUUGAGGUGGGGGACAACAGUUGGAAACGACUGCUAAUACCGCAUAAUGUCUACGGACCAAAGGGGGCUUCGGCUCUCGCCUUUAGAUUGGCCCAAGUGGGAUUAGCUAGUUGGUGAGGUAAUGGCUCACCAAGGCAACGAUCCCUAGCUGGUUUGAGAGGAUGAUCAGCCACACUGGGACUGAGACACGGCCCAGACUCCUACGGGAGGCAGCAGUGGGGAAUAUUGCACAAUGGGCGCAAGCCUGAUGCAGCCAUGCCGCGUGUGUGAAGAAGGCCUUCGGGUUGUAAAGCACUUUCAGUCAGGAGGAAAGGUUAGUAGUUAAUACCUGCUAGCUGUGACGUUACUGACAGAAGAAGCACCGGCUAACUCCGUGCCAGCAGCCGCGGUAAUACGGAGGGUGCGAGCGUUAAUCGGAAUUACUGGGCGUAAAGCGUACGCAGGCGGUUUGUUAAGCGAGAUGUGAAAGCCCCGGGCUCAACCUGGGAACUGCAUUUCGAACUGGCAAACUAGAGUGUGAUAGAGGGUGGUAGAAUUUCAGGUGUAGCGGUGAAAUGCGUAGAGAUCUGAAGGAAUACCGAUGGCGAAGGCAGCCACCUGGGUCAACACUGACGCUCAUGUA
rnacentral:rRNA from 1 species